GACGAACGCUGGCGGCGUGCCUAAUACAUGCAAGUAGAACGCUGAAGAGAGGAGCUUGCUCUUCUUGGAUGAGUUGCGAACGGGUGAGUAACGCGUAGGUAACCUGCCUUGUAGCGGGGGAUAACUAUUGGAAACGAUAGCUAAUACCGCAUAACAAUGGAUGACACAUGUCAUUUAUUUGAAAGGGGCAAUUGCUCCACUACAAGAUGGACCUGCGUUGUAUUAGCUAGUAGGUGAGGUAAUGGCUCACCUAGGCGACGAUACAUAGCCGACCUGAGAGGGUGAUCGGCGACACUGGGACUGAGACACGGCCCAGACUCCUACGGGAGGCAGCAGUAGGGAAUCUUCGGCAAUGGGGGCAACCCUGACCGAGCAACGCCGCGUGAGUGAAGAAGGUUUUCGGAUCGUAAAGCUCUGUUGUAAGUCAAGAACGGGUGUGAGAGUGGAAAGUUCACACUGUGACGGUAGCUUACCAGAAAGGGACGGCUAACUACGUG
rnacentral:rRNA from 1 species